UUUGGUAUGUGUGACUGGCGUAAACGUGGACAAACCACGGGGGAGCACAUAUUAUUAUCCGCCGUACGCCUGGGCAAAGUAU
rnacentral:ncRNA from 1 species